AGCAGCCGCGGUAAUUCCAGCUCCAAUAGCGUAUAUUAAAGUUGUUGCAGUUAAAAAGCUCGUAGUUGAAUUUCGGGGUCAGUAGGUUGGUCAUGCCACUGGUGUGUACUGGCCUCACUGAUUCCUCCUUCCUGAUGAGCCGUAAUGCCAUUAAUUUGGUGUUGCGAGGAAUCUGGACUGUUACUUUAGAAAAAUUAGAGUGUUUAAAGCAGGCUAACGCUUGAAUACAUUAGCAUGGAAUAAUGAAAUAGGACGUUCGAUCUUAUUUUGUUGGUUUCUAAGAUUGACGUAAUGAUUAAUAGGGAUAGUUGGGGGCAUUAGUAUUCAAUUGUCAGAGGUGAAAUUCUUGGAUUUAUUGAAGACU
rnacentral:rRNA from 1 species